rnacentral:tRNA from 1 species
UCCCUGGUGGCCUAAUGGUUAAGGAUUUAGCAUUGUCACUGCUAUGACACAGGUUUAAUCCCUGGCCCUGGAA